rnacentral:lncRNA from 1 species
CUUUUACUUUCACUAACACGAUAAAGCACAAAUAAUGCCACAUGUUGUGCUCUUCUUUAAUGUGCUCUUCAAAGGUGACUGUCUUGUUAUCAAACUUAUCUCUUUCCAAACCACAAAUAAAGCAAGUUGUUUUUAAAAUCUCUUCUUUCUUCUGUUUUUCACUCCUUAAAUCAGCAAAAGUAUCAAUGAUCACACCAAAAAUCAGGUUAAGGACAAUAAUGAUGACCAUGAAGAAGAAUAACAGAUCAUAUAUCACUCUAGCAGCAAAGAGAGGUUCCUCUUUGGAUGGUUUCCUGAGCACAUCACCUAC